UACGUAGGUGGCAAGCGUUAUCCGGAUUUAUUGGGCGUAAAGGGAACGUAGGCGGUCUUUUAAGUCUGAUGUGAAAGCCUUCGGCUUAACCGGAGUAGUGCAUUGGAAACUGGGAGACUUGAGUGCAGAAGAGGAGAGUGGAACUCCAUGUGUAGCGGUGAAGUGCGUAGAUAUAUGGAAGAACACCAGUGGCGAAAGCGGCUCUCUGGUCUGUAACUGACGCUGAGGUUCGAAAGCGUGGGUAGCAAACAGG
rnacentral:rRNA from 1 species